rfam:Picea glauca, whole genome shotgun sequence.
AUAACGGUGUCUUUCGACACCACCUCUUCUUGAAAUCAUUAGCUCU